CAUUUUCAUUCUCAAGAGUGACCACCACACCAUUAAUAAUUGCGUUGAAAUGAAUGAAUCAAAAUUUAAAAAACUUGGAAGCCAAUUGCUGACAACUGUUGACCAAACAUACCUUCUUUGAGAAGAGAAGAUCAAAGCAACUCUCUCUCUCCAUUUCUUUGCCUGAAAGGCUGAAACAACAAGAUUCAAACUUAGGAAGUUGUUAGCAGUUGUUGGGUCAUUCUCAUUUCUGAAUAACGAAGAGAUGGUGAAGCUCAAUCCCAACUGGGAACUCAAAAACUGCUGUAACCAUGAACAAGUUGUCUUUCUUGUCACCGUAGCUGUCUGCACUGUUGUUAUACUUGCGCUGUGGAGGACGAUACUACUGAGACCUUUCAAGCUUGUAACUGUAUUCCUUCACGAGGCUAGCCAUGCUAUUGCUUGUAAACUCACAUGUGGUCAUGUGGAAGGGAUCCAGGUUCAUGCAGAUGAAGGUGGAACAACUCAAACACGUGGUGGCAUAUACUGGCUAAUUUUGCCGGCUGGAUAUCUCGGUUCAUCAUUCUGGGGAAUGGUUUUGAUUCUAGCAUCAACAAAUCUUUUGACUGCAAGAAUUGCUGCGGGAUGUUUUGUCGCAGCUCUACUUAUUGUACUCUGUGUAGCUAAAAAUUGGACACUAAGGGGGCUUUGUAUUGGGUUUGUCCUUUUCCUUGGUGUUGUUUGGAUUCUUCAAGAAACAACAAAGAUUCGCAUACUUCGGUAUAUUAUUCUGUUCAUUGGUAUAAUGAACAGCUUGUUUUCAGUGUAUGAUAUAUACGACGACCUCAUAUCUCGUAGAGUUCAUUCUAGUGAUGCCGAAAAAUUCGCAGAAGUAUGUCCUUGUCCUUGCAAUGGAGUCGGAUGGGGUGUGAUCUGUAAUAUGUGAUGGCAGGGGGUUAAUAUCAUUGGUGUUUCUUUGUGGUGCAAUGUAUAUUGGACUUGUAAUAUUGUCUUGAGUUGAGGAAGUAAGUGAAGAAACAAGGGCAAGUUUGGUUUUUCUUCGACAAUUUGAUCAUCAUUCAAUGUUUUAUUUACACACAUAUUAAAAGCUGACCUUCUCAUCACACACACCUCAAUUAAUCAUCCAUUUUUAUUCCACCACAAUUAAAAUUUACAACUGUUGUGUGCACUCAAAUGUCUCCAAGAGCCACUCAUAACAUGCUCUCAUUUUCUCUUGCUAUUAUAUUUGGAAUCAUGUUUAUAUAUAUCGUUUUUAAGACUUGCAUUAA